rnacentral:misc_RNA from 1 species
CGUAGAACACUAAAGCUUUCUUGAUACCAGCUUUACGCCCCUCUGAUGUGAUAAUUUUAUCGGUACCAGUGGCCUUCCAAUACCCGGACCCUGCAACCCGAUUGGGUCGGGACCCGUUUGGAUACUUGCGGUCUCUGGGACUAAAAAAGUACCAUUCUUUCUCACCGAAAAUUGCUUUGCUUGGUAGGACCCAUGGAUCAAACUUGUACAAAUCAAUUUCACCAAUGAUUU